CAAGACAAGUUCCUUUUUGUUUGUCAUUAUUAUAUGAACAUGAUGGUACUAUAUAUUAGCUGUACAGGUAAAAUCAAUCAUGUUUUUUAUUUAUUUACCUUAUAUGGUGGCGCGGUUAAUGUCGGCUAUAAAGACACCUCCAUAUCAACGAUUCUAUUCUUCACCAUUUAUCUUGCUUCAAAUGACUUCUUCUUCUUCUUCCUAGUUCCAGCUUAUUCCUUAAUUUUCUGUCAAGGUCACUUCAAAUUCAAUCUUUCUCAUCUCAAUUUAGUGUUUUCUUUCAGUCCUAGUUUUAAGUUUCUAUACUGGUGUGUUGAUCUGGUUUUUAUUGUUUCUCGAUCGGUGUGA